rnacentral:lncRNA from 1 species
UAAGCUCAAAUAUUUUUUUUAUUUCAUUUACCUAUGGCUUUGGGCUUUGCCUAGGUUCCUAAAAUGAUUAAACAUAAUUAAAAGUAUUCAAUAACAACGUUAGUGUCAUAAUACACACAGAGAAUAAAUAAAAAGUUUCAUUUAUCUAAGAGUGAGGAAAGAGGGGGAGGUGGACUCAGAAUUUGGACCAAAAGAAAUGUAGGCCCAGUAGACUCGAACAUAGCAGCGGCAUGCUUCAGCAAUAUGAACUAUAGGCUGGAACUUGGACCUGAGUUCCACAAAAUUCAGGAGGCCCAAACAUGCAUACAAAAAUAGAGAAGUCAUUAUUGGUGCUACGUGAGGCCCAAUAAGCUAUAACAUACCAUUGUGAUGAAGAGUAUAAUAAAGCCAAUACGAAGCCCAAUAAAAUAAUCAAAGAGUAAGCAAAAUUAACAAUCACAACGAAACCAUCUUCACUUGCAUUAACCCUAAAGAGAUUAAUAAGUGUUAAUGAUUAGGAGCUUAGAGAAAAAUCUCAUUCAUGGGCAAUAUACCCUUUAGAUCCCUGGCACUUCAGAGUGCACAAAGAUCUUAGGGGCCCCGAGCAGUGCCUGUGUCAGGGAGGGCAUCUCAACCAAAAACUAGAUUCUACUCCUAAAUAACCUUAACCACUCACACUCACUCCUCCCUAUAAGUUUAGUUACAGAUGAGGCAUUCACUGUGGUAACUAGUAUAGUAGCAAUAGUAAACACACACAUUUAGGUAUACAUAAUUUCUACAAAAGUUGUAUGGAACACCCUUAUAAAAGUAUAAUAUUAUAAACAGUACAAGAUUACAUUAUUAACAUUGAGACCACAAUCCAAAAAAAAGAGUAUAGCCUACCAAUAACUUGUUAUAUUUAGAGACAGUCACCAUGUAUAAGAAUACUCAAAGAAACUAACCCCAGAUGUAAAACAAGGAGAGGUUAUAGUAAUUACCAAUAGGCUAAUUCAAGUUUGAAAUACUAAGUUGAAUGAUCCAAGGAGGUAGAGCAGACAUGUAUCUCAACCUUAUUAAUCCUACUGAUAGGUGCAAACUUGCAGUAAUCUCUAACUAAGUUCAUAGUACAUCAACAACUAUUAGACUAUAUUCAGAACAAUCAAAGUUUCUCACACAUUGGUUAAAUCCUCAUUUCUACUAGAUGUGUGAACUAACAAGCUUGUCCAAAUUUUCUAAAGAGCAACAAUACUAAUAGAAGUACCUACACAGGCAGGGAGGUUAAUAUUAAUCUAAUCCAAACUGGUAACAUAAUCAUUAUCCUUUUUGGUUGUCAAUCCAAAUUCACAUUAAGUUAUUAAGAUCCAAGAUACUCAAACAAGCAUAGUGCAGUAUUCAUUCAAAGAGAACAAACAAAUGUUAGUGAGUUUUCCUUUAACUCAUAAGUGAUAACAAUUAACUUUACGUUCCAAAUUCUAUGUGGUUAAGCUAUCAAGAUUCAGUUUCUUUCUUAUGGGAUGAUACAGUUCUAAGUGAGAACUAUGAGAGAUAAAGCAUGAGUAUCCCUUAAAUAAAAGACAAACAGGAGGUCUGUUAAUAAAAUACCUAAGUGAGAGGCUCAACAGAGGAUAUCCAAAAUAUGUUUACAAUGGUAUUUUUACAAGAUUACAGAAUAUAACAAGAAGCGAAGAUGAUCUAAAACCAGACUAGUGUGUAUAUUAUAGAGGUCCAAAUCAUAAUGACAGACAAGUUUUACAUAUAUUAGGUAGAUAUGGUUCUAGUAACAUAUCAAUCAAUCCAGGUAGGCAGACCCAAGUGUGGCAACAUAGGCAUCAUGAUGGAGUUCAGCUUUAGACAUAUUAACAGCAUAGUUAACCCUAAAGAUGGUAUAACACAAAUGUAACAAGUAUAACUCUUCACCAUAGUUAACCUAAAAGAUGGUAUAGCAAAAGUGCAACAAGUAUAACUCUUCACCAAACUUUUUAAGAGAGGUUAAUAACAUAAGUUAAACUAGGCUAGUAAAUAUGAUAAUAGCUGACAUAAUACAUAUAGAAUUAACUACAAAAACUCGUUAUGACUUAGGUCAAUCACUUUAGGGAAAAUUUAUACAAUGUAAUUUAAAGGUGUAACUGAGCAUUUAUUUAAACAUAAGGAUUAACCGAAGACUUUCAAACCUAUAUACAAUGAUGUUUUCUAAAGAGUUAUAAGAUUGCACAACAUACUUGAAUAGAAAGGAAACUAAGCUGGUGAGUUUAGACAAUAACAAGUUUGUAUUGGACCCUUAAGUAUCAAAACAAACAUGAUCCCAAUAUUAUUAAAGUAGAUAGAUUAAGCAUGGAUCAGUUGGUGGUAUUUUUUAAUUCUAGGAUCAAUGUAAUAUUGGGAGAGAAGACAUAAAAAUUUUAACAGGAUAUUAGAAGAAACGUAAGAUCAUAACAAUAGUGUAAUUUUUGAAAAAUAAUAUGUAGAGAAUCAUUAAAUCUAUUAAUUAAUUACAGAGAUUCAGCAUGACUUUGAUUUGUUCAGUUUAAAGAAGAAUUUAUCUGGUGGAACUUAUUAAGCACACAGGAGAAUCGACCAAUAUCAAAAUAACUUCAGGAAUCAGGAAAAGAUAGUUGGCUCAUACAAUAAGAUCAUACUCAAUGUUAAAGCAUGAUAUUCAGUAAUAAGAUAAUAGCAAGCAUCAUUAACUAAAGACAAGCAACAAAGAUAACAUAGUAGGCAUUAAAUAAUCAAAGAAGGAGGGAGGGAUAAGUAUAUACUGACCUUUUUCGGAGUAGCAAACCAAACUAAAGUCCUUUGUAUACCCAUUUAGGACCCAAAGACUCAAACUUCGAACUAGUGAAUGAAGUCAGAAUCAGAAAAGAGAGAAGAAAAAAAAUCAGUGACGAAUCUAAGCUUUCAAUUGUUUGACUAUGUGUGAGGUGAUUCUUGAUGGUUGUCUCGAGGUGAGAGUAAUUAAACCACUAUUUAUAGUAUCACUCAAUGCCUAGGGUUCCUGCCGAUUUGGAAUUUUAGUGGAAGAUGGAGAUAGGGUUGAUGACGAUGGGGAGGGAGUAAAUAUUAGUGAAGAACAUAAGAAAAAGUACCAAAAUGAUUUACCUAGGCAUAAGGGAAGCCUUUGAAGAAAACCAUCGAAUAAAAUCUCAAUAUCUAGAAGUCACUACGUUUGACCAUUAGACAAAGAAUAAUGACGAUGAUGCUGAAGAAAUGGUCUUGCAUGUGUAAGGCCCAUUAUGAUUUCCUAAUGAUUU